CCGCUCCCGUACGCAACCCCAGAGAGGCUGUGUUCCCAAGCCAGCCAGCGCCCACGCCUCUUCUCUCCCGUGGUUCCCCCUCCGGAUUUCUUGCACCCUCCCGUUCCCCUGGCAACGGCCAGUGACCUCACUCGGGUUGUAAACCAAGCCCAGAGUGAAAUCACCACUGUUGCUAUGGAGACCUAGGGGUCGCCCAGGAAUUCCUGCCCCAAUAGGGAUGGGGGAGAGAGACAACUGGCGUUGGAAUGGGCCAUUGAAGUAAACUGGGAAAGUGCAUGUCAGCCAGGGGCCCUGAGCUCAACGGAGCACCUCUCGAUUCACCCCUCCCCCACCCUGAGGCCAGCCCCCAGGACCCUACCAGCGCUCCCACUGAUCCUCCAACCAGCUGUCAUUGUCUGGGCUCGAAUCCAUCUUCAAUACCAGCUGCAUGGAGAGCCCUGCCCGGCCAGGGGGCUGCGGGGCUCCAGGGCUGCCCUCUCAUGCCCAGAAGGGUGGGGGGGCCAGAGCUCAAGGCAGGGCUGGGGCUUCUGGCCUCCACCAACUGGGCCUGCCUUUCUGCAUCCUGCCGGCUGCAGAAGCCUGGGGAGCUCAUUAAAAAUAGAUGGGCCGGAGAGGAGGCCGCAGCUGCCGACCCAGGCCCCAGCCCCAACUCUUCCUGGCCCAGCCCUCGGAUGCGGGCAGCUUCCUCCCUCAGCGGCCCAGACGCGCAGCUAUGUCGCCGCCUCCCCCGCGGGAUCAGGUUACUGCAAUCAAUGCUACUGGCUCCACCUGCCCUUCCAAUGCCCCUGUUGGGGGCUGGAGUGACCCCCCCUCCCUUCCAAGGCCAGGCGAGUAAGCAGACGACAGAAAUCUGGUAAUUUUUUUUCCCUCAAAGCGAGACCCUGAUCUGCUUUAAAGGGCCAGCGCCACACUCAGGGUGCCAAAUGGGAAGAUGGAGGGGCUUCGGAAGCGCUCCAAGAACGGCCGCAAGAAUCCACAUUGCCACAGGCUCCGCCUCCACACCGCCUCGAUGGUUCCUGCAUCUUCUGGAAUGAGCAUUAUAGAGUCUGCGUGUGAACAUGAAGAGUGACAACCAAUACAAUAAGGAAAAAGGGAGGGCAGCCUGGGUCUGGAAAUAGCCCCAUCCGUACAGUGUUUGUCUGGCAUGCAACGAGGUUCUGUGAUCCCUGGCUCUGCAUGUACCUGUAACCCCAGCAUGUGAGAGGCGACAACAAGAGGAUCAGGAACUCGAGGUCCUCCUCAAUUACACACUAGCCCCAGACUCCUAGUCUCUCCACUGCCAGUUCCUGGCCUCAAUCUCCUAAACUCACCCCAGCCUACGCAACUGUAUACCCAGAGAUGACGAACAAGCACCUGUUAGAUGCUGGAAGCCUUGGCUGCCUGGCGGGGUAGGGGCAAUGCGGCCCUUACUUGAAUGUCCAGUAACAGAACACAGCCAGCACCCAGGAGAGGUUCCCCAGAGUUGCUCAUGAAUACGAGCAGGACCAGGGGUCAGAGGCGACAUUCUAGAAUAGGUAAGAUCCCUCGGUGGGGAUGGGGGUGGUGACACAAUUGAUAGGAACCUUUAGUCCCCAAGGCAGAGUUAGAUUGUGCCAUUUCCCAGGGAUCCAGAUACCCAGAUGAGGACCGAUGCUAGAAGGCUGGGGUAGAACUCCUUCCCUGGCUACAGUUGGGCUGCCGUGAGGCUAGCCAGCUCCUCUACACUUGUUCGCCGGGAGCUGGGCCAGAGGCAGCAACUGCCAUUCUGCCUCCUGCCAUCACCACAGCAAGGCUGGUGUUCCCAGCCUGGCUGCUGGGCCACCUUGUUCUCACCAUGUCCUGGGUUCUUCCUGAGGUGACCGUAGUCUCCUCUGAUCAGUGACACUCCCAGGACUGUGGUUCUGGUACUUCCUACCUGCCUUCCCCCAAGCUCCAUGCCCCAAAUCAACUGUGUGAGCAAAGAUCACCAAGCUGAAACCCGGUAAGCACCAAGGUGAUUAGAUGGCUGCCUGACUAGCCUCUCGUCUCCCAAGGAGCCCUGGAAGCACCCUGCUUCAUCCCUGCUGCAUCUUCAUGGUCAGACCAGUGGGAGAAUCUGAUCUGACCCAUCUCCUAGCCAUCCCCCAGCCUGUCCCCAUGCCUCGCCUCACCUGCCUGGAGGAGGGGCAGGAUGGCUCCCCCGUCCACUCUGCCUGGCAGCCACUCUCCUCCUCCUGCUGCUGCCAGUCCCUGCCUGACCCCAGUCCAGCACCUACAGCACCACCGGUCGUAGAUGAAGAUUGCAGCAUCCCCAACUUCCCACACAACUUUGCUCUCCGCGUUGACAGACAGGUGUCGGUGGCCCUGCCUGUUUGCCUGUUCCCAGCAUGUCCUUCCCAGUGUACCUUCCUCCUCUGUGAGGACUGCCUGACCUUCCCCUGUGGGCCCUGGACCUGCACGACCACCACCCUCAGCCUAUGUGGGAGGACAUUGUCUCCCUGUACAUCGUCACCUGCACGGUGGUCAGGGUUAUGAUGGGACCUCUGCAUACUGCCCCUCCUGUUGAGUCUAGCAAGAGGUUCCUUUGGUGAGCAAUGGAAGGCAGUGAAUACAGCUCUGUGAAGAGGUAAAUGAGGGCCCCUGCUCUGUGGUGAGCUGAGGCAGUAGAGCAGGGUCAUCAGAAAGCACCCAGGUUUCCAUCUGAGUCCUGGACUCCAUCCCGACCUUGUUAUUAACUUGCUGUGUGUUCUUGGGAAGUCACUGGUCAUUUCAUAUUUCUGCAUAAGGGAGACAUUUACUGGACUGUUUUUUCCUCUUUUUUUUUUUUUCUUCUACAGUGGUAGAGUUGGAACCUAGUCCCUCCAGCACACCAGGCAAGCACUUAACACUCAUCAUACCCCAUCCCCAAAAGUUGACAUCCGAGGUCUCCCUUAGCCAGGGCUCUUAGCCAUACACUUAAAGCAGGCUGUUCAUUUUGCUUCCCGUGAAUACCCCUUUGUCCUGCUGAUCCUUCCAUUUGGGGUGACUGUCCCCUGUUCCACCCCUUCAGCCCACAUAUCCAGGCCCAAUGGAUCCAUUGUGUAAUGCUCUAAAAUUUCUUCCCUAGAGCUUUCUUUAUGAAGAACAUGGAUCAGUUAAAAAUACCUUUUUCGUUAUGCUGCAAGUAACUCAGUAACUUACAUACAUCUAAAAAUAAGAAGCCAAAUGGUAGUCAAACAGGUAAAGUAGAAAGUCCUCACUCCACCCCACAUCCAGACAUAUCACUAGGGACCAGAUGGAAGACUCCCAUAACCAGAAAAACCACCCAGCACAUACUCAUUUAGAUCAACUUCCAACAGACGCUCCCAUCUUUCACGUAUACACACUCUUGCCCUUCCAAAAGUGCUCCCCAGUCUGACAGGGCUUGCCCUUUCGGUGGCAGAGCUGGAACCAGACUUUCUGGGUUCACAUCAGCUCCACUACCAGCCGCUCUAUGCCUUGGCUUCCUCAUCUGGAGGCAGCGGCAACAGUAGCCUGCUCGUGUGACUAUGAGAGACCCACUCCUGUACACGGAAAAUCCUUAGCAUGGUGCAUUCACCACUACUCUGCUCUCCGGGAGAAACGUGCCCAGUAAUAAUAAUAAUAAAAUAAUAAUAAUAA